GAUGAACGCUGGCGGCGUGCCUAAUACAUGCAAGUCGAGCGAACGGACGAGAAGCUUGCUUCUCUGAUGUUAGCGGCGGACGGGUGAGUAACACGUGGAUAACCUACCUAUAAGACUGGGAUAACUUCGGGAAACCGGAGCUAAUACCGGAUGAUAUUUUGAACCGCAUGGUUCAAAAGUGAAAGACGGUCUUGCUGUCACUUAUAGAUGGAUCCGCGCUGCAUUAGCUAGUUGGUAAGGUAACGGCUUACCAAGGCAACGAUGCAUAGCCGAUCUGAGAGGGUGAUGGGCCACACUGGAACUGAGACACGGUCCAGACUCCUACGGGAGGCAGCAGUAGGGAAUCUUCCGCAAUGGGCGAAAGCCUGACGGAGCAACGCCGCGUGAGUGAUGAAGGUCUUCGGAUCGUAAAACUCUGUUAUUAGGGAAGAACAUAUGUGUAAGUAACUGUGCACAUCUUGACGGUACCUAAUCAGAAAGCCACGGCUAACUACGUG
rnacentral:rRNA from 1 species